rnacentral:rRNA from 1 species
GAUGAACGCUGGCGGCGUGCCUAAUACAUGCAAGUCGAGCGAACGGACGAGAAGCUUGCUUCUCUGAUGUUAGCGGCGGACGGGUGAGUAACACGUGGAUAACCUACCUAUAAGACUGGGAUAACUUCGGGAAACCGGAGCUAAUACCGGAUGAUAUUUUGAACCGCAUGGUUCAAAAGUGAAAGACGGUCUUGCUGUCACUUAUAGAUGGAUCCGCGCUGCAUUAGCUAGUUGGUAAGGUAACGGCUUACCAAGGCAACGAUGCAUAGCCGACCUGAGAGGGUGAUCGGCCACACUGGAACUGAGCCAGGGUCCAGACUCCUACGGGAGGCAGCAGUAGGGAAUCUUCCGCAAUGGGCGAAAGCCUGACGGAGCAACGCCGCGUGAGUGAUGAAGGUCUUCGGAUCGUAGAACUAUGUUAUUAGGGAAGAACAUAUGUGUAAGUAACUGUGCACAUCUUGACGGUACCUAAUCAGAAAGCCACGGCUAACUACGUG